rnacentral:lncRNA from 1 species
UGAUUUCUCCCCGUUUCCAGGCCUUGUUGGUCAGACUGUUGGCUCCUGGUUGCUGUGUGAGCCUCUGCCUGACCUCUUUGCUCCCUGGUGCUUGGCACAAGCAGGAGAGGUUGGCUGGCAGAUUGUACAGCCCCAGCCCUUUGUUAAAUUUCCUCUGGAGAAGAAUGAGGUGCAAUUAAGGCCAAUUCUUCAUUAGGAGGAAUGAAGAGCUGAACCGUAACCACUCAGCCCCCUCACAGCAUCCAAACAGAGCUUGGAAAGUGGGGCCAGGCCUCUGCCACCCUUGCCUCCGUCCUCCAGCCCCUGUGCUCAGCAGACUGAGAGCCAAGGACAUGUACCCUCUCCAGGGCUGUCAACCGACCAGUGACAGGAAGCAGGUCUAAAGGCUCAUUUAACUGCAAAACAGCACCUGUCUUUUUAGGCGAGAGCAGGCUUUGCUUGUCAACCCUGUCAGCAGCACGGGCCUUGCCUGGAGGCACCCGAUUGUGUCAGAGGGGUCACACUGAGCACUGCGACACGCAGCACUGGCUGGCAUGGGGGCAGGAGGCUGUCGGCACGUUUUCUCUGCAAGGACAGCGGGUGACUGUUCCUAUUAAAAUAACCAUGUUCAGAAGAAGAGUCUGAAACUCGUAAAUAAUGGGAAGUGCUAAUAGUAAGCAGACUGCUGUAAAAUGUGCUGGGGCUUUGACUUAAAGGAAGAAAGCACAGCACUGUACUGCCCCUGAUCAGGAAGCUGGAGCACCAAAGGUAAGGGGGAGGCAUAUGGGCACUUUUUAAAACCUGGAAAUGGUGACGAAUGAUGGUGUCUGAGUGUGUGAAUGUGUAACUGAUCAGAUGAGAAAAAUAAAACAGCAUUUUUAUAUUUUUCUUCA